rnacentral:rRNA from 1 species
UACAGAGGUCCCGAGCGUUGUUCGGAUUCACUGGGCGUAAAGGGUGCGUAGGUGGCAUGGCCAGUUUGAUGUGAAAGCUCAGGGCUUAACCCUGAAAUGGCAUUGAAUACUGCUGUGCUGGAAGUUUGGAGGGGGGACUGGAAUUCUUGGUGUAGCAGUGAAAUGCGUAGAUAUCAAGAGGAACACCAGUGGCGAAGGCGAGUCCCUGGACAACACCUGACACUGAGGCACGAAAGCCGGGGGAGCAAACAGG